rnacentral:rRNA from 1 species
UGCGUAGGCGGCCGUGUAAGUCUGGCGUGAAAGCCCCGGGCUCAGCCCGGGAAGCGCGCUCGAAACUGCGCGGCUCGAGUGCCGGAGGGGAGAGUGGAAUUCCUGGUGUAGCGGUGAAAUGCGUAGAUAUCAGGAGGAAUACCGGUGGCGAAAGCGACUCUCUGGACGGCAACUGACGCUGAGGCACGAAAGCGUGGGGAGCAAACA